AUGAACGCUGGCGGCGUGCCUAAUACAUGCAAGUCGAGCGAACAGACGAGGAGCUUGCUCCUCUGACGUUAGCGGCGGACGGGUGAGUAACACGUGGAUAACCUACCUAUAAGACUGGGAUAACUUCGGGAAACCGGAGCUAAUACCGGAUAACAUGUUGAACCGCAUGGUUCAACAGUGAAAGACGGUCUUGCUGUCACUUAUAGAUUGAUCCGCGCCGCAUUAGCUAGUUGGUAAGGUAACGGCUUACCAAGGCAACGAUGCGUAGCCGACCUGAGAGGGUGAUCGGCCACACUGGAACUGAGACACGGUCCAGACUCCUACGGGAGGCAGCAGUAGGGAAUCUUCCGCAAUGGGCGAAAGCCUGACGGAGCAACGCCGCGUGAGUGAUGAAGGUCUUCGGAUCGUAAAACUCUGUUAUUAGGGAAGAACAAAUGUGUAAGUAACUAUGCACGUCUUGACGGUACCUAAUCAGAAAGCCACGGCUAACUACGUG
rnacentral:rRNA from 1 species